rnacentral:tRNA from 1 species
ACCUGGGUGGCUCAGUCGGUUAAGCGUCCGACUUCAACUCAGGUCACGAUCUCGCGGUCUGUGGGUUCGAGCCCCGCGUCAGGUU